UACGAAGGGGGCUAGCGUUGUUCGGAAUUACUGGGCGUAAAGCGCGCGUAGGCGGACCUGCAAGUCGGGGGUGAAAGCCCGAGGCUCAACCUCGGAACUGCCUUCGAUACUGCGGGUCUCGAGUCCGGGAGAGGUGAGUGGAACUCCGAGUGUAGAGGUGAAAUUCGUAGAUAUUCGCAAGAACACCAGUGGCGAAGGCGGCUCACUGGCCCGAUACUGACGCUGAGGCACGAAAGCGUGGGGAGCAAACAGG
rnacentral:rRNA from 1 species